CAGGAGACGCCGCAGCCCCAAAGCCGCCGUUGUCGUCACCUCCGCCAUCAUCGCCGUCCUUUGCCCAGUCUUGGCCCCGCCCACUCCACGUCGUAUUGGUCGAAAAGUGGAGCGCAAGAAAGCAACUUCUGGCGCGGCGCGGCGCCUCUCAUGCCCAGGAUCCCUCCCGUUCUAAGAGGGAGAAAUGAGCAUCUUGGCAGUCAAAGAGUGAUGUACACCUGACUAUCUGAAUGUUGCUUACCUGUAACAGAUGAUCCUUGAGUGAUCCUGGAUAUUCACACAACGGGGACAUGCACCUGCACUGUAGACUGAUCGGGAAGAUUCUAAAGCUCUGUGCAAUGCUCCUUACUCCGUCCACUAUGUGAGUGUGUUUGUUAUACCGGGUGGUUGGAGCACUGCUAUCCUUGGUUCUUGGACGACCGUCGAACUUCAGUGACUAUCAUGAGAGGAACUGGAUAAGUGAACCUGAGCUGGCAAACCUUCAAAUCCAAAGCAGUAAGAAGAACCUUCCGAAGCAUCCUUACUCAGCAGCAGUCGGAAAGGAACUAAGGAUAGUGGCGCUCCAACCACCCUGUAUAAUGAACACACUUAUGUAGUGAGUGGAGUCAGGAGGGUCGCGCAAGGUUUUAGAAUCUGCAUAACAACUGAACAGAGUACAGUGAAGGCACAAAACCUUAUCUUUACAGAUCCUUUAAUAUAGUCAAUUUAAGACUACCUUACAACUCACAAAAACAACUUCUUAUUCAAAUAUGGUUAACAUUACCUUUUGGUAUUUUGUUUUUUCCCCAUACUUCUCAAUUUUAUCACUUUCCUGGCGGGAUCUAUAGGAUACUGAAAAGAUGACUGGUAAAUGUCAGAGAUCAAAGCUUUGCCUUGUGGUGGCAGCAGAUCAAAGCUUUGCCUUGUGGAGCCCCUGGUGGCGCAGUGGUAAAACUGCCGCCCUGUAACCAGAAGGUUGCAAGAUCGAUCCUGACCAGGGGCUCAAGGUUGACUCAGCCUUCCAUCCUUCCAAGGUCAGUAAAAUGAGUACCCAGAAAUGUUGGGGGCAAUAUGCUAAAUCAUUGUAAACCGCUUAGAGAGCUUCCAGCUAUAGAGUGGUAUAUAAAUGUAAGUGCUAUUGCUAUUGCUAUAUGAAACUGAAUUAGAUAAUCAGAUUUUUCACGUAUUCUAUAUGCCAUAGGUCAGCCUUAUAGGUUUCCAGGAAAGUGAUUAAGCUGACAGGAAUAGCUUUAUUAGUCAUUAUUUUCAUCUGAAAUAGGUUUUCUUAGCUGAUGACACACACAAUUUUUAUCUCAAUCCAUUUGUUUUCAUCCUUUACAUUCUCUGGUAAAUGAUCAGGAUGAAAGACUAUAACGAACUAAUGUUGCCUGCCUUUUCACCAUAAUAAGCUUUUUAUGUGUAUUACAGAAGUUUUCAAAACGUUUAAUGUGUGUUAGACUGGUAGCUGUUCUAGCUUUAACUCAUUUAAGUCUUCUUCAAAUGUUUCUUUCAUUUCCCCUUUGUUACAAAGUCAGUAUUUUACAAUCUGUUUGAUGCUAACAGAGUUAAAUUAAAAGGCUUUUAAGAAAAGAGUCAGAAAAGUAAAAUUAUGCACUUUCUGUUUAAGAUUAAGAACAAAUAGUGGAAGCACUUCUAAAAUGUCUGUCCCUGGUGAUAUUGGUUUGGGGGAAGUUUUCUUCAAUUCUUAAAAGCUUUUUCAUUAAAAAAAAUUGUUCAAGUUUCUGAAAGAUUGCCCAGUCCUUUACAAAACUUCUAUAACCAAAAGGACCUCAUAAUUACCUGCAAAGUUUUCAAAGAUACCCCCUCAUUUCUAUUUCUCUUACCAACACAGAUUGUACAUUUAAAGCGACAUACUACAACCUGUUAGAGUGCAGAAGCCUCACUGUUCAGUUGUCUGGAAACAAACAAGAAUUGGUCUCUGAAGGCCCCUUUCUGCAGACCUCUGCAAGUAAGCUCCUGUAGGUUACCCAGUCUUCCUAUCUCUGACUCAGAAGCUGACAACUCUACCAUAAUGCUCCCUGUAUAAAGUUAUCUAAACAGCUUUUAUUUGUAUACAGCCCAGGAAAAGCAGGUGCUGUACACCAGUCCAAGUUAAGUACAAGCCAAAUCUACAGUUUAAUGAUAGGACACCAAAGGGAGUGGAUAAAAACAGGAAAAGAGAAAGAUCAAUUCAGAUCUGUUGCUCUGGAUCCUAAACAAAAUGGUGGUGGCAGAAAGCCAAACAGCUGAACAGAAGGAAGCAAUUCCUUUCCAGGAGCAAGAGAGAAAGGAUACACAUUAGAAAUGAAUGAUGCUACUAAGCAGAACAGGGAGAAGGCUAGUAAUAGAAAAGUAGGACAAGUAAUGCAGGGUGGGGACAUCAGCACAGAGAAAUAGGGAAGAGAAGCAAGACUGGGAAGAAUGAUCGGAGGCUGCAGCAUUAUUUCCUGAAGGAUGGAAGCUCUUUACACUCCAGAGAGUACAUUCGCUUCCUAUAACCUUCUAGGUCUAAUCUAUGCUCCUAGUUUUGUGCUACAAAGCCCUAAGCAUUUUCAGUCCUCGAUACUUUGGAAGCCUUUUACUCACCUUACGAUCUAUAUCUUCAUGCCCAAGGCAGAUCCUCAUAAUAUAUAAUGAAUGCAUCAGCUCAGGACAAAAAAAGGCAUGGUGGGAUGUUUUCUUGAGGGCUGCUCCACAGUUAACAUCCGCCCCAGCAAGUGGAACAAACUCUGAGUAAACUCCAUAAAGCAUGUAAGAGUGGGGAGAUUGGUAGGGGAUCACCAGAUUGAACAUUUUUCUUAGGUCUGAAGAAAUGUCUAUAACCUAAGCACUUAAGACUUCAACACUAAGAAUUAGACAUUUGGGAAGAAUCUAUCUAUCUAUCUAUCUAUCUAUCAAUCAUACACUAAGGUCCUAUGUGGCAAGCCCUGCCCUGGGCCGCCCACACAGUGCUUUACCAGUCAGAGGUAACAGAACAGAAGCACUGUGGUGAUUGGGCAGUGGGGAUUCCA